rnacentral:rRNA from 1 species
GGAGUUAGCCGGUGCUUCUUCUGUGAGUGAUGUCCUUCCUGCCGGCUAUUAACCCGCAGGCCUUCUUCCUCACUGAAAGUGCUUUACAACCCGAAGGCCGUCUUCACACACGCGGCAUGGCUGGAUCAGGGUUGCCCCCAUUGUCCAAUAUUCCCCACUGCUGCCUCCCGUAGGAGUCUGGGCCGUGUCUCAGUCCCAGUGUGGCUGAUCAUCCUCUCAGACCAGCUACGGAUCGUCGCCUUGGUGAGCCGUUACCUCACCAACCAGCUAAUCCGACAUAGGCUCAUCCGAUAGCGCGAGGCCCGAAGGUCCCCCGCUUUCCCCCGUAGGGCGUAUGCGGUAUUAGCCUGGGUUUCCCCAGGUUAUCCCCCACUACCGGGCAGAUUCCUAUGCAUUACUCACCCGUCCGCCGCUCGCCACCAGGGAGCAAGCUCCCCGUGCUGCCGCUCGACUUGCAUGUGUUAGGCCUGCCGCCAGCGUUCAAUCUGAGCCAGAAUCAAACUCUGA